rnacentral:rRNA from 1 species
GACGAACGCUGGCGGCGUGCUUAACACAUGCAAGUCGAACGAUGAAGCUGGAGCUUGCUCCGGUGGAUUAGUGGCGAACGGGUGAGUAACACGUGAGUAAUCUGCCCUUGACUCUGGGAUAACUGCGGGAAACUGUAGCUAAUACCGGAUACGACACCUUCGGGCAUCCGAUGGGUGUGGAAAGAAUUUCGGUCAAGGAUGAACUCGCGGCCUAUCAGCUAGUUGGUGAGGUAAUGGCUAAGCAAGGCGACGACGGGUAGCCGGCCUGAGAGGGUGACCGGCCACAGUGGGACUGAGACACGGCCCAGACUCCUACGGGAGGCAGCAGUGGGGAAUAUUGCACAAUGGGCGAAAGCCUGAUGCAGCAACGCCGCGUGAGGGAUGAAGGCCUUCGGGUCGUAAACCUCUUUUAGUUGGGAAGAAGCGAAAGUGACGGUACCAACAGAAAAAGCACCGGCUAACUACGUGCCAGCCGCCGCAGUAA